AUUGAACGCUGGCGGCAGGCCUAACACAUGCAAGUCGAGCGGAUGACGGGAGCUUGCUCCUUGAUUCAGCGGCGGACGGGUGAGUAAUGCCUAGGAAUCUGCCUGGUAGUGGGGGACAACGUUUCGAAAGGAACGCUAAUACCGCAUACGUCCUACGGGAGAAAGCAGGGGACCUUCGGGCCUUGCGCUAUCAGAUGAGCCUAGGUCGGAUUAGCUUGUUGGUGAGGUAAUGGCUCACCAAGGCGACGAUCCGUAACUGGUCUGAGAGGAUGAUCAGUCACACUGGAACUGAGACACGGUCCAGACUCCUACGGGAGGCAGCAGCGGGGAAUAUUGGACAAUGGGCGAAAGCCUGAUCCAGCCAUGCCGCGUGUGUGAAGAAGGUCUUCGGAUUGUAAAGCACUUUAAGUUGGGAGGAAGGGUUGUAGAUUAAUACUCUGCAAUUUUGACGUUACCGACAGAAUAAGCACCGGCUAACUCUGUGCCAGCAGCCGCAGUAA
rnacentral:rRNA from 1 species